GAGAAUGCCUCAAUCGGGAUCCACAAGCAAACAUCUCCGAAAGAACACUUCAUAGACAAUGCAAAUUACAAACAGACUUUACAAGCUCUGAACAGUGGCACAACAAAGGGUAAAAUGGUCCAUUACAGACCGAAAAUCUCUCGCACAUGUCCACAUGACACAACCUUUAUUUACAAGCCUAAAGAGGCCACCAACCCAACUAAAAUGGGACUUAUAAGCCUUCGGCUGCCCCUCUAUACGCUGUACAAGGCAUGAACAUGCCAACAGACACGGACAUACAUAAGCAUUACAUCAAACACCUUGUUUCGAAGUUUGUCCGUGACAUUCUCCCCCACUUAUUCCUUCGACGUCCUCGUCGAAGCCUUUGCCGACACUGCAACUCCUUACCUUUGCUGAGUCUUCAAUCUUCUGCUCCAGCUACAAUGCGCCUCCUGGCUCCCAGCUGCUCUCCACCGCUGUUUUUGAGUAGUCGAACCUUUGAUCCGCUAUGCUGCUUCAACUCGCCAAUGACUCUGACUCUGGUGUGGGGUUGGCUGAGUUGUGUUGAUCCUCGUUGAUUCCUGCGGAUCCACCAAAUGAAGGAAAAGACCAUCCUUACUGCGCUAGUCUCUCAAAAUUUCCACAUGCUGCUUGAACUGGGUGGAUGCUUGUUGGAGCUUUAACGAGCAUCGCCUCGCAAACUUCUGAAGUUUUGGGUCCUUCCUCCACAAAAUCUGCUCAUUGACUCUUCUUUCAGUUAGUUGUCACAUCCAAGUAGGUUCGCAUCACUUCCGCUUUCGAUUGACAUUUCGUUGGGAAAUGAAGCGGACAAUCUACUCUCAGUAGCACUUAUCACCGUUGGUGAGGAUUUGACAAAUGUUGUCUUUCAUUAUCUUCGAAGGGUCUUUGAACUUGUGCAGAGCUCCUCUGCUGGAUAGAUAAGAGAAUUGGGGUACUCGGUUUCGCCCAUUCUCUUAAGAGUUGAGAAGGCAAAGGUUACUUGACUUCGCCCGCCUCCUCGAGAUUGUACUUCAUGCAUCGAGCUGGUUACUGGUCUUCGCCUGCUCUUUGCUCACACUUCUGAAGCACUUGAAGUGUUUCCACUCCUUGCGUUGAGUUAGCUACUGUGAUUCACCUUCUCAAUGCCAUCGAACUUCUAGAAUGCAGGAAGUUUUCACCCCAACUUGGAGUAAUUCUCUGAUAGAUGAUGAGGUCGCCUCUGGGAUUGUACCGUCUUCUCCAUCAAUCCUGUCGCCUACUCCACUGAGUAGCAAAGGUACAGCACCGCGUACUGCUUGCUUCGUUCCUUGGUCGUGCACUCUUGCAUGACCCGAAGUCCUUCACUUACGGCUAUCUUGAUGAGAAACUUGUUGACACCGGUCUUACGAAGUUUCUUGGCCUCUGCCCUUCAGCCUUGUCUCGGUACCUGGAGUUUGCCUCUGCAUGCUCCACCUCCUCGGCCCCUUUCACGACCAAGCGCUCUCCCUCCAUGAGAGCAAGGGAUCAAUGACUUUCACGGAAGUCCCGCCUCUACGGUACCAUGGCGCUGCCAUGCCCAUGGCCCUACUAUCCGUUGCCUCACCUCUACAUCCCUUUUCUCCACGAUCAGUAGAUAUGACUCCGUGGCACUCCUCUGAGUCCACCUCUAUUCUAACUGAUGCUUGAUUUUGGGUAGCUAAGUCCCUCUGGACUCGUCGUCGCUUCCUCGCCCCUUUCGACCUCCUGCUUCAACACCUCUGUGUUCUCCAAGCAGUCUGUUUGGUCGAUGG
rnacentral:lncRNA from 1 species